GACGAACGCUGGCGGCGUGCUUAACACAUGCAAGUCGUACGGUAAGGCCCUUUCGGGGGUACGCGAGUGGCGAACGGGUGAGUAACACGUGAGUAACCUGCCCACAACUUUGGGAUAACGCAAGGAAACUGGUGCUAAUACUGGAUAUGUGCUCCUGCUGCAUGGUGGGGGUUGGAAAGCUCCGGCGGGUGUGGAUGGACUCGCGGCCUAUCAGCUUGCUGGUGGGGUAGUGGCCUACCAAGGCGGCGACGGGUAGCCGGCCUGGGAGGGUGACCGGCCACAUUGGGGCUGGGAUACGGCCCAGGCUCCUACGGGAGGCAGCAGUGGGGAAUAUUGGACAAUUGGCGCGAGCCUGGUGCAGCAACGCCGCGGGCGGGAUGACGGCCUUCGGGUUGUAAACCGCUUUCCGCAGGGACGAAGCUUUUUGUGACGGUACCUGCAGAAGAAGCACCGGCUAACUACGUG
rnacentral:rRNA from 1 species